rnacentral:rRNA from 1 species
GAGGAAUAUUGGUCAAUGGGCGAGAGCCUGAACCAGCCAAGUAGCGUGCAGGAUGACGGCCCUAUGGGUUGUAAACUGCUUUUAUGCGGGGAUAAAGUGCGCGACGUGUCGCGCAUUGCAGGUACCGCAUGAAUAAGGACCGGCUAAUUCCGUGCCAGCAGCCGCGGUAAUACGGAAGGUCCGGGCGUUAUCCGGAUUUAUUGGGUUUAAAGGGAGCGUAGGCCGCCAGGUAAGCGUGUUGUGAAAUGUACCGGCUCAACCGGUGAAUUGCAGCGCGAACUGUCUGGCUUGAGUGCACGGUAAGCAGGCGGAAUUCAUGGUGUAGCGGUGAAAUGCUUAGAUAUCAUGAAGAACUCCGAUUGCGAAGGCAGCUUGCUGCAAUGCGACUGACGCUGAUGCUCGAAGGUGCGGGUAUCAAACAGGAUUAGAUACCCUGGUAGUCCGCACGGUAAACGAUGGAUGCCCGCUGUCCGCCCCUUUGUGGCGGGUGGCCAAGCGAAAGCGUUAAGCAUCCCACCUGGGGAGUACGCCGGCAACGGUG